UACGAAGGGGGCUAGCGUUGCUCGGAAUUACUGGGCGUAAAGCGCACGUAGGCGAUCUUUUAAGUCGGGGGUGAAAUCCUGGAGCUCAACUCCAGAACUGCCUUCGAUACUGAAAGACUUGAGUCCGGGAGAGGUGAGUGGAACUGCGAGUGUAGAGGUGAAAUUCGUAGAUAUUCGCAAGAACACCAGUGGCGAAGGCGGCUCACUGGCCCGGUACUGACGCUGAGGUGCGAAAGCGUGGGGAGCAAACAGG
rnacentral:rRNA from 1 species